rnacentral:rRNA from 1 species
GUGGGGAAUCUUAGACAAUGGGGGAAACCCUGAUCUAGCCAUGCCGCGUGAGCGAUGAAGGCCUUAGGGUUGUAAAGCUCUUUCAGCUGGGAAGAUAAUGACUGUACCAGCAGAAGAAGCCCCGGCUAACUCCGUGCCAGCAGCCGCGGUAAUACGGAGGGGGCUAGCGUUGUUCGGAAUUACUGGGCGUAAAGCGCACGUAGGCGGACCGGAAAGUCAGAGGUGAAAUCCCAGGGCUCAACCUUGGAACUGCCUUUGAAACUCCUGGUCUUGAGGUCGAGAGAGGUGAGUGGAAUUCCGAGUGUAGAGGUGAAAUUCGUAGAUAUUCGGAGGAACACCAGUGGCGAAGGCGGCUCACUGGCUCGAUACUGACGCUGAGGUGCGAAAGCGUGGGGAGCAAACAGGAUUAGAUACCAGGGUAGUCC